rnacentral:lncRNA from 1 species
GCAUGUCUUCGCCUCCCGGCUUUUGUCCUACCACUACUUCUGCUCUUUGCCUUCUCACUUAUGAGCACCAAAACAAUGGUUGCAGGGGCUCGCUUUCUUCUCGAGACUUCCUUGCCUCAAGUGCCCGAGCUUCCAAAGCCUGAGCUGCCACAAUUGCCCAAGCCUGAGCUUCCACAUUUGCCAAAGCCUGAGCUGCCACAAGUGCCUAAGCCUGAGCUUCCACAACUUCCUAAGCCUGAGCUUCCACAGUUGCCAAAGCCCGAGCUGCCACCGCUUCCUAAGCCUGAGCUACCGCAGUUUCCAAAGCCUGAGCUACCGCAGUUUCCAAAGCCUGAGCUGCCACCAUUGGCUAAACCCGAAAUACCAUCAGCACCUCAUGUCCCAACUUUGCCAAAGGAAGGCCAUAAGUUGGCUGAAAUACCACAUGCCCCAACCUUGCAUGAGUUACCUCAACUUCCAAAGCCUGAAUUGCCACCACUUCCCGCUUUCCCAACUUUGCCGAAGCCCGAGCUGCCAGCGGUGCCCAAUGUCCCUACUUUACCAAAGCCUGAAGUGCCAAAGUUGCCUGAAAUUCCACCUCUACCACAUCUCCCAGCUGAGCUACCUAAACCCACAUUGCCCUCC